UUCAUUCGAGAGAUGCUUACAGGACUAUCACACCAGUUGCAGUUACUAUGACCUUCUUCUCCUAGGGUCUUUCACUGGUCAGGCGAAUUGCCAGUAACAACAAUCUGAAUGGUUAAAGCACCCAAUCAUUGACUGGUUAUUGUAGGGUUAAAGGGCCUAUCUAUUGUAUUGGUGGGGUUAGUUAUCCAAGUGGUCAAAUGCGUCUAAUAGAAUGGGUAAAGAAAGAGUAGCAGCUGCAAGAGAUUCUACAGUUGGGAUUUUAGGAUUAACCUGAACCAAACCAACCCUAAAUGGAAAAACUUGGAACCUCCAACUCUCUUCUUUGAGGAUAGCUCCCCUCUUCUAUUCCGGACGGGGUUUCUUAUUAGAUAUAUAUAUAAAUAAAUAUAUAUAUAUAUAUAUAUAUUUAUAUAUAUAAUAUAUAUUUUAUAUAUAUUUAUUUAUAAAGAUAUAUAAAAAUAGAAUAUAUAUCUAAUAGAGUCUCACUCAAUAUUCAAAGGAUCUUUCAUUGAUCAGAAGGUGUUGUUUCUUUCCAUCCCUAGGUUGCGGUUUAGAAGCACUUCAUAGUUUGUUAUCCGGAACUCCAUUCUAAGGAUGUAGCUGCUGAAUAUCCAAUAGUUGACUUAAGAAAAGUUCUCGGACAUUAUUUUCAAAGAGAAAGUUUGAGCUAUUUUUAAAGAGUAGAGUGGGUUGAGUUGGGAAGCGUCUUUCUUGAGCUUAGCAAGCGGAAGGGGUUUCAUCGGAGAGCAAACUCCCGAGAUAUUAGUGGCUUGAUGAACUAUCCCAUUUUUUAAGAUUUUUUUUUUCGUAUGAAACAGAUCAGCUGGUCCGAAUCAAUAGAAUCUGGAGUUGUUCGGAUGAUUGCCCCUGCUGGG
rnacentral:lncRNA from 1 species